CCUGGAGGUAGGAAGGCAGCUGAAGAGGGGAGAGAGACACCCUCCCCACCCCCAUAUGAGGAUGGUCUGUGAUGAUAUGCAUGCAGGGGAAGGGACUUAUCCAAGGUCCCUGAUAGAUAGGGACUGGAAUUUUGGCAGUGUCUUUUCUAGAGUAGAACAAAUUUAUCAGUUGAAUUUGCUGUAGUUCUCUGAAGGUUUCUUUGGCCACAUUAGAAUUUUUGAGCCCUGGCAUCCGUGUAGGCCAACUUCAAAAUGGCUGUGUGCUCCACUCAGAGAUUCUGCUGUGAAGACCGGCAGGAGAUUUUUUAGCCUAUUCUGAACUCCAACUGUUCCAGUUCCUCUUGCUUUCCAGAGGUGUGAGCACCUGGAAGCCCCUGCUCUGGUCUACACCCCAGGCUCAAGAUUCAUCCUGCUCACUCAGCCACUCAUGCUGUCACCAGCGAUAAAACUGAGUCAUUGGGAAAUUCAGCAGCUAAUGAAGAUGGCCCUGUUCUGUCAGGUCCCUACUGGAAUAUUUAAAAUUCUGUUUUUCAUACUUAUCAGCUAAAAGAAUUACAGAAAUAUAUUUCUGGAUCCUGUGGGGAAUAAGAGCAGAAAUAUACAAAGCUUCUUUCAAGACGGAUCCCAGCAGCCCAAGUGAAUGUCACAGUUGUGUUAAAGACUAUUGAUUUCAGCAGGUUCUGGGCUGGGUCUCAGCUUCCCAGGACUGUUCCAGACUGACCUCCUUUCCCUGGUUCCAUCUUUUUUUGGGACUUCUGUGGGCCUUCAUUCAGCAUGUGGCUUGCGGGUGUCCAGGUCUGCAGGCAUACACACUUCUCCUGAUCUGAAUCAGAGAACAAAAGAUAAAGGAUCGAGGACAAUGGCCUCUUCACUUUUGCUUUCUCUCUUCUUUGGAUUUUACUUUGUGUUUCCAACAGCCAAUGGAAGGCUGUUCUAUUUAGAGUAAAUGACUCAGACUUGGUACAUCUCGAAUCGUAUGUCAGAGCACACUGUUGCCCCUCAAAGCUCAGGAAAGGCUGCAUACUCUAUCUCCCUCUUGAUGGUUUCCUCGUAUUUACAAGUUAAAGACCAUAGAUGUCCUGUAGUAAAGGGGUUAGCUUGCCUCUGUUUAUCCCAGUGAUUCUAGUGAAACUAAAAUGCUUGUUUCUAUGGGGCACAGUCCAGAUGUGUUGUUCACUUGGAUUGACCAAUCCUUUCAAUAAAGUUUUGAUGCAACCAUGUGAAUCGCAAGUUUUCAGCACUUAGUUUUGUGACCUUGAGCAAGUCAC
rnacentral:lncRNA from 1 species